rnacentral:rRNA from 1 species
UAUUAGAUACCCUGGUAGUCCACGCAGUAAACGAUGAAUGCUUGCUGUCCGGGGGGACUGACUCCUGGGGGGCGCAGAGAAAGCGAUAAGCAUUCCACCUGGGGAGUACGCCGGCAACGGUGAAACUCAAAGGAAUUGACGGGGGCUCGCACAAGCGGAGGAACAUGUGGUUUAAUUCGAUGAUACGCGAGGAACCUUACCCGGGCUCAAACGACGGAUGAAUGUUUUUGAAAGGAGGCAGCCCUUCGGGGCGUCCGUCGAGGUGCUGCAUGGUUGUCGUCAGCUCGUGCCGUGAGGUGUCGGCUUAAGUGCCAUAACGAGCGCAACCCCCAUCGCCAGUUACCAUCAAGUAAAGUUGGGGACUCUGGCGAGACUGCCGGCGCAAGCUGCGAGGAAGGCGGGGAUGACGUCAAAUCAGCACGGCCCUUACGUCCGGGGCGACACACGUGUUACAAUGGCAGGCACAGAGAGAAGCGACAUGGCGACAUGAAGCGGAACUGUCAAAACCUGUCUCAGUUCGGAUUGGAGUCUGCAACCCGACUCCAUGAAGCUGGAUUCGCUAGUAAUCGCGCAUCAGCCACGGCGCGGUGAAUACGUUCCCGGGCCUUGUACACACCGCCCGUCAAGCCAUGGAAGCCGGGAGUGCCUGAAGUGUGCAACCGCAAGGAGCGCCCUAAGGUAAAACCGGUGACUGGGGCUAAGUCGUAACAAGGUAAC